rnacentral:rRNA from 1 species
UACGGAGGAUCCAAGCGUUAUCCGGAUUUAUUGGGUUUAAAGGGUGCGUAGGUGGUUUUUUAAGUCAGGGGUGAAAGACGGCAGCUUAACUGUCGCAGUGCCUUUGAUACUGAAGAACUUGAAUUAACUAGAGGUAGGCGGAAUGUGACAAGUAGCGGUGAAAUGCAUAGAUAUGUCACAGAACACCAAUUGCGAAGGCAGCUUACUAUGGUUAUAUGACACUGAGGCACGAAAAGCGUGGGGAUCAAACAGG